AGCGAACGUUAGCGGCGGGCCUAACACAUGCAAGUCGAACGCGAAAGGUCUUCGGACUGAGUAGAGUGGCGCACGGGUGAGUAACACGUAGGUAAUCUACCCUUUGGCGGGGGAUAACGUUCCGAAAGGAGCGCUAAUACCGCAUAAGACCACGGAGUCUCCGGACGCUGUGGGAAAAGGUGGCCUCUUCUUGAAAGCUAUCACCGAAGGAUGAGCCUGCGUCCCAUCAGCUAGUUGGUAAGGUAAUGGCUUACCAAGGCGAAGACGGGUAGCUGGUUUGAGAGAAUGAUCAGCCACACUGGCACUGGAACACGGGCCAGACUCCUACGGGAGGCAGCAGUGAGGAAUAUUGGGCAAUGGGCGAAAGCCUGACCCAGCCACGCCGCGUGAGUGAUGAAGGCCCUCGGGUCGUAAAGCUCUGUGGAGAGGGACGAAAGCCCUGGUUUCAAAUAGGCUCCAGGCUUGACGGUACCUCUUUAGCAAGCACCGGCUAACUCUGUGCCAG
rnacentral:rRNA from 1 species